rnacentral:rRNA from 1 species
GACGAACGCUGGCGGCGUGCUUAACACAUGCAAGUCGAACGGAAAGGCCCUGCUUUUGUGGGGUGCUCGAUUGGCGAACGGGUGAGUAACACGUGAGUAACCUGCCCUUGACUUUGGGAUAACUUCAGGAAACUGGGGCUAAUACCGGAUAGGAUCUCCUGCUGCAUGGUGGGGGUUGGAAAGUUUCGGCGGUUGGGGAUGGUCUCGCGGCUUAUCAGCUUGUUGGUGGGGUAGUGGCUUACCAAGGCUUUGACGGGUAGCCGGCCUGAGAGGGUGACCGGCCACAUUGGGACUGAGAUACGGCCCAGACUGCUACGGGAGGCAGCAGUGGGGAAUAUUGCACAAUGGGCGGAAGCCUGAUGCAGCAACGCCGCGUGCGGGAUGACGGCCUUCGGGUUGUAAACCGCUUUCGCCUGUGACGAAGCGUGAGUGACGGUAAUGGGUAAAGAAGCACCGGCUAACUACGUG